GGGAAUGAUGAUGUCUUGAGGAGGUGUGAUAACAUAAAAAUCAUGCUCACUAGGAUUACAUCGGGGCCC
rnacentral:snoRNA from 1 species